rnacentral:lncRNA from 1 species
AACAAAGGAUAAUGGUCUUACAAACAUGUCCCCCUAAGGUGGUGCCAUGAUGUCAUUCUUACAACAUGCAUGUAAGUUACGGAUGAAAAUCCAAGUGUUUACAAAGUAUCACAAAGAGUAAUGGUUGUUGUGUUUGAGUUUGAGAAUGAAGCAAAAAGCUUGGAAGAGGGUGGUUAUGGUUGUUGUGGUAGAAAAAUGGAAGGG